UACGUAGGGUGCGAGCGUUAAUCGGAAUUACUGGGCGUAAAGCGUGCGCAGGCGGUGAUGUAAGACAGGUGUGAAAUCCCCGGGCUUAACCUGGGAACUGCAUUUGUGACUGCAUGGCUAGAGUACGGUAGAGGGGGAUGGAAUUCCGCGUGUAGCAGUGAAAUGCGUAGAUAUGCGGAGGAACACCGAUGGCGAAGGCAAUCCCCUGGACCUGUACUGACGCUCAUGCACGAAAGCGUGGGGAGCAAACAGG
rnacentral:rRNA from 1 species